GUGCUGGCUUUGGCAGUACAUAUACUAAAAUUGGAACAAUAUAGAGAAGAUUAGCAUGGACCCUGUGCAAGGAUGGCAAGCAAAUUCAUGAAGCGUUCCAUAUUUUU
ensembl:snRNA U6 U6 spliceosomal RNA